GACGAACGCUGGCGGCGUGCUUAACACAUGCAAGUCGAACGGAAAGGCCCUGCUUUUGUGGGGUGCUCGAGUGGCGAAAGGGUGAGUAACACGUGAGUAACCUGCCCUUGACUUUGGGAUAACUUCAGGAAACUGGGGGUAAUAACGGAUAGGAGCUCCUGCUGCAUGGGGGGGGUUGGAAAGUUUCGGCGGUUGGGGAUGGACUCGCGGCUUAUCAGCUUGUUGGUGGGGUAGUGGCUUACCAAGGCUUUGACGGGUAGCCGGCCUGAGGGGGUGACCGGCCACAUUGGGACUGAGAUACGGCCCAGACUCCUACGGGAGGCAGCAGUGGGGAAUAUUGCACAAUGGGCGGAAGCCUGAUGCAGCAACGCCGCGUGCGGGAUGACGGCCUUCGGGUUGUAAACCGCUUUCGCCUGUGACGAAGCGUGAGUGACGGUAAUGGGUAAAGAAGCACCGGCUAACUACGUG
rnacentral:rRNA from 1 species